rnacentral:sRNA from 1 species
UUGAUUGAAACCAGUAAAUGCUUCUCUUUGGGGAUGGGGUUUUAGUUUCAAAUGCCCCCAGGGGGUUACUUUUUACUGCCCCGUGUCCUGUAACACCGUCAUUUAAAUGGAACAGCACAACGUGCACCACCGCCCCCCACCCCUCGACCAAGCAGGGCCCUUCCCAGCUCUCCAUCUGCUGGGCUGAAAUCAGCCUUCCCAGCUGGGCCUUGAUCAGAAGCGUGCCCCAACACCCCGGGAGCUGCCUGGUCAGGGGAGGAGGGCACGGAAAUGGGGCCAGGGCGCGCCGGCCCCGCAGAGCCUGGCCGUGACGUCCAGGUGGUGCCCUGGCCGGCCCCUGCGGCCGCCUGCUGCAGUUGGCCGGUUUUGCUUGCAGACAUCGACGAGUGUGCAGACUCGGAGGCCUGCGGGGAGGCGCGCUGCAAGAACCUGCCGGGCUCCUACUCCUGCCUCUGUGAGGAGGGCUUUGCGUACAGCUCCCGGGAGAAGGCUUGCCGAGAUGUGGAUGAGUGUCUGCAGGGCCGCUGUGAGCAGGUCUGCGUGAACUCCCCAGGGAGCUACACCUGCCACUGUGACGGGCGUGGGGGCCUCAAGCUGUCCCAGGACAUGGACACCUGUGAGGACAUCUUGCCGUGCGUGCCCUUCAGCGUGGCCAAGAGUGUGAAGUCCUUGUACCUGGGCCGGAUGUUCAGUGGGACCCCCGUGAUCCGACUGCGCUUCAAGAGGCUGCAGCCCACCAGGCUCGUAGCUGAGUUUGACUUCCGGACCUUUGACCCCGAGGGCAUCCUCCUGUUCGCUGGAGGCCACCAGGACAGCACCUGGAUCGUGCUGGCCCUGCGAGCCGGGCGGCUGGAGCUGCAGCUGCGCUACAACGGUGUCGGCCGCGUCACCAGCAGCGGCCCGGUCAUCAACCAUGGCAUGUGGCAGACAAUCUCUGUUGAGGAGCUGGCGCGGAAUCUGGUCAUCAAGGUUAACAGGGACGCUGUCAUGAAAAUCGCGGUGGCCGGGGACUUGUUCCAACCGGAGCGAGGACUGUAUCAUCUGAACCUCACCGUGGGAGGUAUUCCCUUCCAUGAGAAGGACCUCGUGCAGCCUAUAAACCCUCGUCUGGAUGGCUGCAUGAGGAGCUGGAACUGGCUGAACGGAGAAGACACCACCAUCCAGGAAACGGUGAAAGUGAACACGAGGAUGCAGUGCUUCUCGGUGACAGAGAGAGGCUCUUUCUACCCUGGGAGCGGCUUCGCCUUCUACAGCCUGGACUACAUGCAGACCCCUCUGGACAUCGGGACUGAAUCAACCUGGGAAAUAGAAGUUGUGGCUCACAUCCGCCCAGCCGCAGACACGGGUGUGCUCUUCGCGCUCUGGGUCCCCGACCUCCGUGCCGUGCCUCUCUCUGUGGCCCUGGUAGACUAUCACUCGACGAAGAAGCUCAAGAAGCAGCUGGUGGUCCUGGCCGUGGAGCACGUGGCCUUGGCCCUAAUGGAAAUCAAGGUCUGCGACGGCCAAGAGCACGUGGUCACCGUCUCGCUGAGGGACGGUGAGGCCACCCUGGAGGUGGACGGCACCAGGGGCCAGAGCGAGGUGAGCACCGCGCAGCUGCAGGAGAGGCUGGCCGUGCUCGAGAGGCACCUGCGGAGCCCCGUGCUCACCUUUGCUGGCGGCCUGCCAGAUGUGCCAGUGACUUCAGCGCCAGUCACCGCAUUCUACCGGGGCUGCAUGACGCUGGAGGUCAACCGGAGGCUGCUGGACCUGGACGAGGCGGCAUACAAGCACAGCGACAUCACGGCCCACUCCUGCCCCCCCGUGGAGCCCACCACAGCCUAGGCCCCUGCGGGACGCGGCAGGCCCCUCAGCCUCUGUCCAAAACAGCCAGGAGGAGCCUAGGGGCUCCUCACCACGUGCGGCCAUGCUGAGAGCUGGGCUUUCCUCUGUGACCGUCCUGGCCUGUAACAUAUCUGUAAAUAGUGAGAUGGACGUGGGGCCUCUGACGCCGCGCACUCAGCCGCGGGCCUGGGCACGGGGAGGCCGGCGCAGGGCAGAGCGGGCUCGAAGAAAAUAAUUCUCUAUUAUUUUUAUUACCAAAUGCUUCUUUCUGACUCUAAAAUAUGGAAAAUAAAAUAUUUACAGAAAGCUUUG